UACGGGGGGUGCGAGCGUUGUCCGGAAUCACUGGGCGUAAAGAGCUCGUAGGCGGUUUGUCGCGUCUGCUGUGAAAACCUAAGGCUCAACCUUGGGCUUGCAGUGGGUACGGGCAGACUAGAGUGCGGUAGGGGUGACUGGAAUUCCUGGUGUAGCGGUGGAAUGCGCAGAUAUCAGGAGGAACACCGAUGGCGAAGGCAGGUCACUGGGCCGCAACUGACGCUGAGGAGCGAAAGCAUGGGGAGCGAACAGG
rnacentral:rRNA from 1 species